rnacentral:rRNA from 1 species
UGGGAACCUUCCCUAUGGUUCGGAAUAGCUCAGGGAAACUUGGGGUAAUACCGGAUAAGCCCUUACGGGGAAAGAUUAUCGCCGAAAGAUUGGCCCGCGUCUGAUUAGCUAGUUGGUGAGGUAAUGGCUCACCAAGGCGACGAUCAGUAGCUGGUCUGAGAGGAUGAUCAGCCACACUGGGACUGAGAUACGGCCCAGACUCCUACGGGAGGCAG